rnacentral:rRNA from 1 species
CCUACGGGUGGCAGCAGUGAGGAAUAUUGGUCAAUGGACGAGAGUCUGAACCAGCCAAGUAGCGUGAAGGAUGACUUCCCUAUGGGUUGUAAACUUCUUUUAUAUGGGAAUAAAAUGUUCCACGUGUGGGAUUUUGUCUGUACCAUAUGAAUAAGGAUCGGCUAACUCCGUGCCAGCAGCCGCGGUAAUACGGAGGAUCCGAGCGUUAUCCGGAUUUAUUGGGUUUAAAGGGAGCGUAGGUGGAGUGUUAAGUCAGUUGUGAAAGUUUGCGGCUCAACCGUAAAAUUGCAGUUGAAACUGGCAGUCUUGAGUACAGUAGAGGUGGGCGGAAGGCGUGGUGUAGCGGUGAAAUGCUUAGAUAUCACGAAGAACUCCGAUUGCGAAGGCAGUUCACUGGACUGCAACUGACACUGAGGCUCGAAAGUGUGGGUAUCAAACAGGAUUAGAUACCCCUGUAGUC